AUGAAGUUUGAAACAAGUAGCCGCUCUGGCUCUGUAAAGCCCUCUCCUUUUUCUCUGCUUAAACCCUAAAAAGUUUUUUUGUGUGUGAUUUUUGAUGUGAAAGUGGGAGAUUGAGAUGAGGAUUAGAUUUCGUAUCCCUAUUGGUUUGAACGCCGUGAUGAUGGCGAAACUAUGUAUUAGCUCUAUCUGAUCCUUCUUCCCACACCAGAAAAUUGUGCCAUUUGCUUCAUCAAAUUGGUUUUUUUCGUUUGUUUUGGAUUUUUUCGGUUUCAAAUUGAACAUAGCUUAGAUCUUUUAAUUUCUUCAAUCUGUUUGAGACUUUGGGACUUGGAGAAUUUUGAGGAUUGACAAUGAGAUGAUGAUUGAACUUUGUUUCCCUAUUGGUUUGAUUGCCGUCAUGAUGGCAUCUAUGUAUUAGCU
rnacentral:lncRNA from 1 species